CUUGGGGGAACUAUAACGGCGUCGAGCGGCGGACGGGUGAGUAAUCCCUAGGAAAUUGCCCUUAUGUGGGGGAUAACCAUUGGAAACGAUGGCUAAUACCGCAUGAUGCCUACGGGCCAAAGAGGGGGACCUUCGGGCCUCUCGCGUCAGGAUAUGCCUAGGUGGGAUUAGCUAGUUGGUGAGGUAAGGGCUCACCAAGGCGACGAUCCCUAGCUGGUCUGAGAGGAUGAUCAGCCACACUGGAACUGAGACACGGUCCAGACUCCUACGGGAGGCAGCAGUGGGGAAUAUUGCACAAUGGGCGCAAGCCUGAUGCAGCCAUGCCGCGUGUGUGAAGAAGGCCUUCGGGUUGUAAAGCACUUUCAGUCGUGAGGAAGGUAGUGUAGUUAAUAGCUGCAUUAUUUGACGUUAGCGACAGAAGAAGCACCGGCUACCUCC
rnacentral:rRNA from 1 species